GGUGGUGAAUGCCUCUCUGACAGAGCUUCGGAGAGGUUUCUUACUGCCACCGCCAGCGAUGGCAACCUUCUGCAUGUGCUCCCCUUCCUUGUCGCCCAAACAAAAGCGAAGUCGCAACAGAUCUCGUGGCCAUCAUGAGUUAGGGUGAGGAAUCCAUCGCUCUUUUGUGGCCAUCAUGAGAAUGUCAACUGUCUUCACUGCCCCCACCACUCCCUCCCCUUCCUUUAAUUCCCUGCCUCCUUUGGAUCUCACUGCGAGCCACGGCGAAUGGGGAUCUCGACCUUUACAGGCAUGUCGCCGAUGCUGUGGCUGCUGCUGUCGCUGUCGGUUCAGCUGAGAUGCGGGCUGUCGGCGGACCAGGAGAGCGACCGGAUCGGCCAGCUGCCCGGUCAGCCCGCCGUCGCCUUCGCGCAGUACUCCGGCUACGUCACCGUCGAUCCCCGCCGCGGCCGCGCCCUUUUCUACUGGCUCGUCGAGGCCCCGCCCGCUGCCCAGCCUGCCCCCCUCGUGCUCUGGCUCAACGGCGGCCCCGGAUGCUCGUCCGUCGGCUACGGCGCUUCCGAGGAGAUCGGGCCCUUUCGCAUCCGCCCCGAUGGCUGGACUCUUGACGUCAAUCCUUACGCUUGGAAUAAUGUGGCGAACUUGUUGUUCUUGGAGUCUCCUGCGGGCGUCGGCUUCUCGUACUCCAAUACAUCCAUGGAUCUGUACACUGCUGGUGACAUGAGGACAGCGAUGGAUGCAUAUGCUUUUCUGGUGGGCUGGUUUCAGAGGUUUCCUCAGUACGAGGACAGAGAUUUCUACAUAGCAGGAGAGAGUUAUGCAGGGCAUUAUGUUCCUCAGUUGUCCCAGCUUAUCUACAGGAGAAAUAAAGGGAUUCAGAACCCCUUCAUUAAUUUGAAAGGGUUCAUGGUGGGCAAUGCUGUUACUGAUGAUUACCAUGAUUAUUUGGGUACAUUUGAGUACUGGUGGACGCAUGGCCUGAUCUCCGAUGGCACCUACCAUGAUCUGAAUGCCACAUGCAAUCUCCAAUCCUCAGAGCAUCCUUCGGUUGAGUGCGUGAAGAACCUCAAUGCAGCCACUGCAGAGCAGGGCAAUAUCGAUCCCUACAGCAUAUAUACUCAACCUUGCAAUUCAUCUAGGUCUCUUAAAAGUAGCCUAAAUGGUCGCUAUCCUUGGAUGUCAAGAGCAUAUGAUCCCUGCACUGACAGAUAUGCCAAAGUAUACUACAAUCGUCCUGAAGUGCAGAGAGCGCUCCAUGCAAAUGUUACAGGAAUUCAAUAUCCUUGGGAUACAUGCAGUGAUAUUGUAGGAAACUAUUGGGCAGAUUCUCCUAGGUCCAUGCUACCUAUUUAUCAGGAGUUAAUUGCAGCUGGUCUAAGAAUAUGGAUGUUCAGGCUUUACCAGGUACCAAACUUUGACUAAAUCAAUAGGAAAAGUAAAUUAUUUAGUCUGAUUGAAGAUGACAGUUGCCGAGUUAUAUAUAACAAGUAGAUUGAAGCUUGCUUUACUUGGAACAUAUGUAAAACUGAGGUGGGAACUCAUCUGAAGUAUUUUAUUCUUUCUUUUAUCUUAGAAUGUUAGAUAUCUAUUAAUUAUUUCAGUUCUAUAUAUUUAGCAAGAAAAAAGCUCCUUAUAAUACUUAAUUCAGGUUCUGUAUGACAGACUGAAAAGAACUAGCUACUUUCUCUUAAAUCAGCUUGAAAAUCCUUCUGUAUGCUGUUUAAGGUUUUCUACAAUAACAACGUUUUUUUUUCCCUUUUGUUUUGACAAUUCCUAUAUGUCAACAUUCAUUUGUUGAACAUAAUAAUUCAGUAUCGUUGAUAGCAUUUGGUGUUUAAAUUGCAAAAUACAAGGAUGAUUAAUUGAAAUAUAUUAUGUAUAUGUGUAUUUAGCAACUUUCAUUGAAGAAAUCUGUCAAUAGAACCCAAAUGGAUCUAUCUUUUCAUUCAAGAAAGUUUUUAUAAGACAUAAAACCUGCCAAAUAAAUUUUAUUUCAUGCUUAAAUUGGAAGAUGCUCGUACACAGGACUGCACGCAAACUCUUCUCUUUUCUGUGGAACUAGUGUUAAAAUUGCAACUUUAAAACUAUGUUCCAGGUAUAUUCCUCAGAUCCUUCCCACAACGUCCUACUUUUACCAGCCUUCUGUGAUACUGCAGAUCACCAUCAUAUAUUCAGUACUGACUGCUGAUAAUGUGCACUUUGGCAGAAGUGCUUUCCAUGCUUUUGAGAUAUAUGUUAAUUAUAUAAGAAUCAUCCUUUAGAAUGCACAUAUGAUGAGUGGUUGUAGCUGUAAUAUUAGUAUGAUAUAUAUCCCUUGCCAAGAGAAUAUGCAAUACAUGGACUUUUAAAAUCAACCUACUGAUUUAAGAUAAAAAAUUCUUGUCCCUUCAUGCGGAAGUAAAAUAAAAAGAAGGAACUUUAAAAGCUCGAAUACUAUGGGAAUGGACAACAUAUUUUAAUCAUGAUACCAGCUAUGACAAACCAAUCACAAAAUAUCUCCUUGGUGCUAGAUAAGAAUGAAGCUAAUUUCAUGAUCAAUAAGAUUCUUCAAACUGCUUCUGAAGUGUUAAUUUCUUCCAUCUCUGCUCCUGAUGGUUACAUUGAUUUUAUCUUUUUCAUGUUCCUCAUUCAUCCUGUUGCUACUCCAUGUGCUUCCUUGGCAGUGGAGACACUGAUGCGGUGGUACCUGUGACUGCAACUAGAUACUCCAUUGAUGCUCUUAACCUCCAAACCCUAAUAAGUUGGUAUCCUUGGUAUGACAAAGGAAAGGUUGGUGGAUGGAGCCAAGUUUACAAAGGUUUGACAUUUGUGAC